rnacentral:rRNA from 1 species
CCUACGGGAGGCAGCAGUCGAGGAUCAUUCACAAUGGGGGAAACCCUGAUGGUGCGACGCCGCGUGGGGGAAUGAAGGUCUUCGGAUUGUAAACCCCUGUCAUGUGGGAGCAAAUUAAAAAGAUAGUACCACAAGAGGAAGAGACGGCUAACUCUGUGCAAGCAGCCGCGGUAAUACAGAGGUCUCAAGCGUUGUUCGGAAUCACUGGGCGUAAAGCGUGCGUAGGCUGUUUCGUAAGUCGUGUGUGAAAGGUGCGGGCUUAAACCGCGGACGGCAAAUGAAACUGGGAGGCUAGAGUAAUGGAGGGGGAACCGGAAUUCUCGGUGUAGCAGUGAAAUGCGUAGAUAUCGAGAGGAACACUCGUGGCGAAGGCGGGUUCCUGGACAUUAACUGACGCUGAGGCACGAAGGCCAGGGGAGCGAAAGGGAUUAGAUACCCUGGUAGUC